UACAGAGGGUGCGAGCGUUAAUCGGAAUUACUGGGCGUAAAGCGCACGUAGGCGGCUUGGUAUGUCGGGUGUGAAAUCCCCGGGCUCAACCUGGGAACUGCAUCCGAAACUGCCUUGCUCGAGUAUGGGAGAGGGAAGUGGAAUUUCCGGUGUAGCGGUGAAAUGCGUAGAUAUCCGGAGGAACACCGGUGGCGAAGGCGGCUUCCUGGACCGACACUGACGCUGAGGCGCGAAAGCUAGGGGAGCAAACGGG
rnacentral:rRNA from 1 species